GUCUCGGUGGCGCAAUUGGUAAGCAUUCACUUUUCGACCUUCAUAAUCGAACAUCUUAUUAAUUCUCAACAGGUUAGCGCGUACGACUGUUAAUCGUGAGGUUGAGAGUUCGAUCCUCUCCCGGGACG